rnacentral:misc_RNA from 1 species
GAUGAAGAACGUAGCGAAAUGCGAUAAGUAAUGUGAAUUGCAGAAUUCAGUGAAUCAUCGAAUCUUUGAACGCACCUUGCGCUCUUUGGUAUUCCGAAGAGCAUGCCUGUUUGAGUGUCAUGAAAAUAUCAACCUUGACUUGGGUUUUGUGCUCUAGUCUCGGCUUGGAAUUGGGUGCUUGCCGCUUUUACGAGCGGCUCACCUUAAAUGUAUUAGCUGGAUCUGUCUUUGAGACUUGGUUUGACUUGGCGUAAUAAGUAUUUCGCUAAGGACAUUCUUCGGAGUGGCCUCGUUUCUAGGACGCUUGUCCGCUUUCCAAUACAAGUUCCACCUCGUGGACAUGUCUUUUUAUUAUCUGGCCUCAAAUCAGGUAGGACUACCCGCUGAACUUAAGCAUAUCAAUAAGCGGAGGA